UAUAUUCUUCUUAUUUGCGUAAUUGAGAUUUACCACGCAGAGAGACAUUGUUAGAUCUGUGUUACUAUCUUCCGCGACUAGCUUUCUCGUAGAUUUGAACUCCAGAUCGGAACCGUAACCCUAGAAAAUCUUUUCUGUAGUGAAGAAUGGCGCUGAAUCUUCGACAGAAGCAGACCAAUUGUAUCAUUCGUAUGUUAAAUCUGAAUCAAUCACCGAACUCUAAUGGAACUGGGAAUGAAGAAGUAUACAAAGUAUUAAUCUUCGACAAAUUCUGUAGAGAUAUUUUAUCACCAUUAAUUCACAUUAAAGAUCUGCGAAAACAUGGAGUUACUCUUUAUUUUAUUAUUGACAAAGAACGUCAAACAAUUCCUGAUGUACCGGCUGUAUACUUCGUUCAACCUACUCAAUCAAAUAUUCAGCGAAUUGUCUUAGAUGCUUCUCGUUCAUUGUAUGAAAGUUUUCACUUGAAUUUUUCAUCCUCUUUACCUCGUCCAUUGCUUGAAGAUCUUGCUUCUGGAACUUUAAAAACUGAUUCAGUUCAAAGGAUUUCUAAGGUAUUUGAUCAGUAUUUAGAGUUUGUUACUUUAGAAGAUAAUUUAUUCUCACUUGCACAACCAUCUUGUUAUGUUCAACUGAAUGAUCCUUCAGCUGGUGAUCAAGAAAUUGAAGAAAUUAUUGAGAAAGUAGUAAGUGGAUUAUUUUGUGUUUUAGCUACAUUAGCUGUUGUUCCGAUUAUUAGGUGCCCUAAAGAUGGACCUGCUGAGAUGGUUGCUAGAGCUCUAGAUUUAAGGUUGCGCGAUCACUUGAUUUCCAAGAAUAAUUUAUUUUCAGAAGGGGGGAACUUGGGUAGUUCUUUUCAGCGCCCUGUUCUGUGUAUUUUUGAUCGAAAUUUCGAACUUUCUGUGGGUAUUGAACAUGAUUUUAAGUAUCGCCCACUUGUUCAUGAUCUUCUUGGUUUGAAGCUCAAUGCGGUUAGUGUGAAGGGAGAGAAGGGUGGAUCUAGAUCUUACGAGUUGGAUGGUUCAGAUCCGUUUUGGGUUGCGAAUGGGAACUUGGAAUUUCCAGAAGUUGCAGUGGAGAUUGAGACUCAACUAGGAAAGUAUAAGAAAGAUGUUGAUGAGGUGAAUAGGCGAACUGGUGGACAUGAAGGAGCUGAAUUCGAUGGUACAGAUUUGAUUGGGAAUACCAAGCAUCUGAUGAAUGCAGUGAAUUCACUACCUGAAUUGACCGAGAGGAAGCAAGUGAUAGAUAAGCACACCAACAUUGCAACUGUUUUGUUGGGCGAGAUCAAAGAGAGAUCUUUGGAUUCGUAUGCUAAGAAAGAGAAUGAUAUGUUAACUAAAGGAGGUAUUGAUCGGAAUGAACUACUUAGUGUUCUAAGAGGUAAAGGAACGAAGACCGACAAGCUUAGAUUUGCAAUAAUCUAUCUUCUCUCGACAGAGACUACACCCCAGUCCGAAGUGGAGGCAGUAGAGGCAGCAUUAAGGGAGGCAGAGGUGGAUACUUGUGCAUUUCAGUAUGUGAAGAAGAUAAAAUCCUUGAAUGUGUCGCUGGCUUCAGCAAAUUCUGCAAGUAAGAGUAACAUUGUUGAUUGGGCGGAGAAGUUAUACGGCCAGUCUCUUAAUGCUGUGACAGCAGGAGUCAAGAAUCUCUUAUCAAGUGAUAGGCAACUCGCAUUAACAAGAACUGUAGAAGCGUUGAUGGAGGGUAGGCCAGUCCCUGAAACUGAAACCUACCACUUCUUUGAUCCACGUUCGCCAAAAGCAAGCUCGAAUGCUGUUAGUAACCAUUUGAAAGGACCAUUUAAGGAAGCAAUCGUGUUCAUGAUUGGUGGUGGAAAUUAUGUUGAAUAUGGGGGUCUGCAAGAGUUUGCUUCACGACAACAACCUGCCAAGCAUAUCAUAUAUGGAACAACUGAAGUUCUUACAGGAAUCGAGUUCGUAGAUCAGCUAUCAAUCUUGGGUCAGAAAAUGGGAUAUGGGAGUACUGUGACUCCUCCUUCUAACUGAGGUUCAUGGACCAGUUUUAACUUUUGCUGUUUACGUGUUUUAUCAUAUAUGUGAGUACAUUUGCUUACAAUGUUCAAAUUAGUGAAGGUCAAUAUACUUAUAGCAUACUCAGUUGUGUAAUUGGAGCUCAAAUCUGUGAAGCAAGUUUGGAUUUGUGUUGAUUUGGUAAUGUCCAAGAUGAACGUGUCGAUUUCCAAGUGAACAAGAAUCAAAACACUAUUUUGGCGAGCAGUGUCGUUUAUGUUCAUUAAUGUGAAGUACUAAAGUGAACUUGCACCUUGGUACUUCAAUCAUAAUUUUCCUGCCAGUACCCCAUGGGUGAUGGAGAGUUGCUUUCCGGAAUCUCUGUUCCAUGGUUCUGACUCUGCUGAGAUCCUGUUGAACCUCUUUCUUUUCUCCAAGGGGUCUCUCAGCUUAGGAUUAUUUAUAUCUGUGUGUUUUUCCGAGGUCAUGUUGAACCUCUUCCCAAAGAGUCGAUCCAGUGCAGGAUAAUAUCUGUUGCUUGCCCUUUAAAGAACCGAAAGGAAGAUUCACUGCAGACUAGAGCCUUAAUUUAAUACUAUUGUAAGUUUUUUAUUCUUCAGAAUCUGUUCUUUCAUUAAUAUUCUAAGCAUAGAUUCUCAUUCCAGCCUGUUAAAAGAAGGUUCUGCGGCUUCUGCCCC